rnacentral:rRNA from 1 species
AAAUUGAAGAGUUUGAUCAUGGCUCAGAUUGAACGCUGGCGGCAGGCCUAACACAUGCAAGUCGAACGGUAACAGGAAGCAGCUUGCUGCUUCGCUGACGAGUGGCGGACGGGUGAGUAAUGUCUGGGAAACUGCCUGAUGGAGGGGGAUAACUACUGGAAACGGUAGCUAAUACCGCAUAAUGUCGCAAGACCAAAGAGGGGGACCUUCGGGCCUCUUGCCA